rnacentral:rRNA from 2 species
UGGGGAAUUUUGGACAAUGGGCGCAAGCCUGAUCCAGCCAUUCCGCGUGCAGGAUGAAGGCCCUCGGGUUGUAAACUGCUUUUGUACGGAACGAAAAGGUUCUCUCUAAUACAGGGGGCUGAUGACGGUACCGUAAGAAUAAGCACCGGCUAACUACGUGCCAGCAGCCGCGGUAAUACGUAGGGUGCAAGCGUUAAUCGGAAUUACUGGGCGUAAAGCGUGCGCAGGCGGUGAUGUAAGACAGAUGUGAAAUCCCCGGGCUCAACCUGGGAACUGCAUUUGUGACUGCAUCGCUGGAGUGCGGCAGAGGGGGAUGGAAUUCCGCGUGUAGCAGUGAAAUGCGUAGAUAUGCGGAGGAACACCGAUGGCGAAGGCAAUCCCCUGGGCCUGCACUGACGCUCAUGCACGAAAGCGUGGGGAGCAAACAGG